rnacentral:rRNA from 1 species
GACGAACGCUGGCGGCGUGCUUAACACAUGCAAGUCGAACGGUGAAGCGCCUUCCUUUUUGGUGGGUGUGGAUGAGUGGCGAACGGGUGAGUAACACGUGAGUAACCUGCCCCCUUCUUCUGGAUAACCGCAUGAAAGUGUGGCUAAUACGGGAUAUUCUGGGUCUGUCGCAUGAUGGGUCUGGGAAAGAUAUUGUUUCGGUGGGGGAUGGGCUCGCGGCCUAUCAGCUUGUUGGUGGGGUGAUGGCCUACCAAGGCGGUGACGGGUAGCCGGCCUGGGAGGGUGGACGGCCCCACUGGGGCUGAGCCACGGCCCCGACUCCUACGGGAGGCAGCAGUGGGGAAUAUUGCACAAUGGGCGCAAGCCUGAUGCAGCGCCGCCGCGUGAGGGAUGGAGGCCUUCGGGUUGUGAACCUCUUUCGCCAGUGAAGCAGGCCUGCCUAGUUUGUGGGUGGGUUGACGGUAGCUGGAGAAGAAGCGCCGGCUAACUACGUG